CGACUCCCGCCACGAGUACGAUUGGAGAGGCUGCAAUCCUCAAAGGAGCAUCUGGAUGCGACGGGGAGGAGAGAGAAGGGGAAAUAAUGGACGUGUGGCUGAAACCUCAGGGGCCCGUCGGGGACGUCACAACAAAACUCCUUCCCCUGGACAUGAAGCCAGACUGGCACAUCGCAUCUAUUUAAGCAAGAGAGACACACAGAGGAUGGGCUGAAGAAUGCCAUUCAGGAGGCUGGCCUCUCUGCCAAGCCAUGUCCACAGGAGAAAAAAAUCAAAGCUACAACAACAACAAAUGAAAAGAAAAAAAAGAAAACUCAGCCCUCUCCAUGCCUCCAGAUCUCCAUGUGAGAUUAUUUAUUUUACUGACGGGCAGUUUGGCAGAGCGGAUCCGGCGCGGAACACAAGACAAAUGGAGACAGCAGCAGCCGGCCGCAGAGCGGCUACGAGGCCGAGCCUGACCGGAUCAG